rnacentral:lncRNA from 1 species
UGAUGCGCUGCGUUGGUGUGCUUGUUCUUGUCGCUGGCUCCCCAUUUCAAGAAGGGAAGGGCGAAGUUGUAUAGAGGCUCCGACUUCACCGAAGGCUGCGCCGGUGCGGUGGACAUUCGGAAACGCAGAAAGCUCUAGAAGCUGGAGGAGUAUUGUGUGUUUGGAAAUGGUGUUGUUGGAAAUGAGAGUUUGAAAAUGGGGAAAACAGAGAGUGUUGCGGCCAAUGAAGACUCACAAGUACAAGUUACUGAUUUUGGCAUUGUAACCUGAUUUUGGCAUUGCAACCUGAUAAUCCAACCUUUGGGUUCCUGACCAUCAUGCAUAAUCGAGUCCUAAAGUCUAAAAAAAAAAAAAAACACAUUAGUGCCUCGGUUAUCUAAGAACCAAGGCAAAGUCCUAUCUCGUUUUACCUCGAUUCAUGACCGAGGCAUAAAACCUAUCCCUUUUUACCUCGUCCAUAUAUGCCUAU